GUAGUCCACGCCGUAAACGUUGGGCGCUAGAUGUGGGGACCUUUCCACGGUUUCCGUGUCGUAGCUAACGCAUUAAGCGCCCCGCCUGGGGAGUACGGCCGCAAGGCUAAAACUCAAAGGAAUUGACGGGGGCCCGCACAAGCGGCGGAGCAUGCGGAUUAAUUCGAUGCAACGCGAAGAACCUUACCAAGGCUUGACAUAACCGAGAACGCCGCAGAAAUGUGGAACUCUUUGGACACUCGGUUACAGGUGGUGCAUGGUUGUCGUCAGCUCGUGUCGUGAGAUGUUGGGUUAAGUCCCGCAACGAGCGCAACCCUCGUCGCAUGUUGCCAGCACGUAAUGGUGGGAACUCAUGUGAGACUGCCGGGGUCAACUCGGA
rnacentral:rRNA from 1 species